AACUUUUUAAAAUGGGGGGACUUCCCUUUGUUUUUUUGUGUUGUGCCCUUCCAGGAAAGAGGGGAACAGAGGGCAGCAGAAAUGCUGUGUAAGGCUUGAAGCAGAUAGGUUCUGAAUCUGUGUCCAUCACUGUGGUAUCUGAAUGCAGGAUUGGAAAUGCACAAUGUGGUCCCAUCUCAAUAUUGUGUCAAACAGGAACCUUAAUGUGAACACAUUCAAACUUUUGGAAAGAAUUCUUCUGCUCUAUUGUUGAUGUGACAUUACAAGCCCUGUCGUUGCUGGUUCAGGCUUGUGUGUCAUGCACAGACACAUCAACAGAUCCUGUUGACUAACAAAUUCUCACUCAGACAUUCACAUAAAUUAUAAAUCUCAAGAUAUAAGAUGCUUUAGGCAUCUGUCUUGCUUCAGCUUUAAGCAUGUGCAUAUUUAUAUAGGAAAGACUGAAAGUUAAAGAAAGUUGCAAUUGCUGGACAAGAGCAGUCAGCUUUGCUUUCCACUAACCUAUAGCCAAAGGUAUAAUUAAGUAUGGUAGCCUGCUUAUAAAUGUCUCCCUCUUACGUCCUGUUCACUGUGGGAUUUUGGUGCACACAAGAAAAUGAGUGAGCAAGAAAAAGAAAUUGAUGAGGUUAGCACAGGAUUUAUAUUCAUGGAUCUAUUUUGGAGCAAGGUACUAUUCAGUGUGAAUAAGG